CAGCCGCCACGGGAAUACAGAGGGUGCAAGCGUUAAUCGGAAUUACUGGGCGUAAAGCGCGCGUAGGUGGUUUGUUAAGUUGGAUGUGAAAGCCCCGGGCUCAACCUGGGAACUGCAUCCAAAACUGGCAAGCUAGAGUACGGUAGAGGGUGGUGGAAUUUCCUGUGUAGCGGUGAAAUGCGUAGAUAUAGGAAGGAACACCAGUGGCGAAGGCGACCACCUGGACUGAUACUGACACUGAGGUGCGAAAGCGUGGGGAGCAAACAGGAUUAGAUACCCCGGUAGUCCCUGUCUCUUAUAC
rnacentral:rRNA from 1 species